UGUGUGCGCGGGCUAAGCGCGUGUCCGGGGGCGCGCGCCGGGGAUGGAGGCUGUGGUGCUCCUGUGGGAAGAGAGGGGUGAAAGGUCGCCGGUCCCGGCAACACAGCUCAGGCAAACGUAAGCGGCUUGUCGCAGAAACCAAGGGGUCUAAGAAACGCACUAGGCUAGAAGGCGGGAAGCAGAGAUUACUGACAGUCAUGCUAGCCAAUAAAAUGGGAAUGUGAGAAAGGCUCUCCAGGCCCCUUCCCAAUCAGGAAACUUAGGGAACAUCUAGGAGGUAUUGGGAUUUCUGGCGCUUUUUAAGUGAUGAAAGACAGAUUAAAGUCCACUGAACAAGGGGAAAACAAUAACAUUUGGUUUGGGAAUAAAAGUUCAUCUGGAGUUUGAAAAACACUUUUCCUCAAGUCAGAGAAGAAGAUAUGCUGAGACCUCAAAGAAAGGGAAAGCCGACUUAAUAUUUAAAUACUACCUACCAUUCCAUGGGGCCUAGGAGCAGAAGGUAUGAUUUUAAAUGUGGAUAGCAUGCUGACCAAUAAUUUAUUUAACUCUGAUAUGCCAGGAAUUUCAGAGACUAUCUUAAGACCUGGUCAGACAUCUAAGGGUCAGUUAGCUAUGAUCUGAUUUGGUCAAUGAAGGUUAUCAGAGAGUACAGUUUAUUAUCCAUUCUCUAUGAUGUUUUAUUAUUUUUUAAAAAAGCAUACUUCUCCAUUUCAUACUAUGUGUA